ACACCUCAACUCUCAUGGCUUGCCGUGAUGAGCUUGGACUUUGGGGGUCUUGCUGGCCUGUGGUCAGCUCCUCUCAAAUGAAUUAGCCUGCCGGUGUUUGGUGGGAUCACAGGUGUGAUAACUAUCUACGCUUGUGGCUUUCCGCCAGGUAACCUUCAGCAAUGGAGGUUCACUGGAGCUCAUAAACGUCUCUCCUCAGUGAGGACAGAUUUUGACC
rnacentral:misc_RNA from 1 species